rnacentral:rRNA from 1 species
UACGGGGGGGGGCAAGCGUUGUUCGGAAUUACUGGGCGUAAAGGGUUCGUAGGUGGCCAACUAAGUCAGACGUGAAAUCCCUGGGCUCAACCCAGGAACUGCGUCCGAUACUGGAAGGCUUGAAUCCGGGAGAGGGAUGCGGAAUUCCAGGUGUAGCGGUGAAAUGCGUAGAUAUCUGGAGGAACACCGGUGGCGAAGGCGGCAUCCUGGACCGGUAUUGACGCUGAGGCGCGAAAGCCAGGGGAGCAAACAGG